rnacentral:tRNA from 1 species
GGUCCUGUGGCUUAGUUGGUUAAAGUGCCUGUCUCGUGAAUAGAAGAUCCUGAUUUUGAAUCUCAGCAGUACCU